AUUGAACGCUGGCGGCAGGCCUAACACAUGCAAGUCGAGCGGAGCGGCGGACGGGCGAGUAAUGCCUAGGAAUCUGACUGGUAGUGGUGGAUAACGUACGGAAACGGGCGCUAAUACCGCAUACUAUCAGAUGAGCCUAGGUCGGACUGGCUAGUGGGUUGGGUAAAGGCCUACCGAGGCGACGGUCCGUAACUGGUCUGAGAGGUUGAUCAGUCACACUGGAACUGAGACACGGUCCAGACUCCUACGUGAGGCAGCAUUGGGGAAUAUUGGACAAUGGGCGAAAGCCUGAUCCAGCCAUGCCGCGUGUGUGAAGAAGGUCUUCGGAUUGUAAAGCACUUUAAGUUGGGAGGCGUUACCAACAGAAUAAGCACCGGCUAACUUCGUGCCAGCAGCCGCGGUAAUAC
rnacentral:rRNA from 1 species